ACAGCGAUUAGAAUGUCCUCCGUCUGCUAGUCUUCUUGAUUCUUAAAUUCUGUGGAGCUCAAAUAGACAACAAAGCUUGUGGAACUGAUUAAGUGUUAGCAUAAAUAUUUAGCCUUUAUCAUGUUGAGACUCCUCAAUAAAUGUUACUCCCUGUUUUUAUAUUUUCAUUUUAUAAAGCAGAAAAGAAAUUUUUAUUUUAUUUUUAUGCCACCAUAGUGAAUGUACUUAUGGGUUUUAUGCCACUCGUCUACUCACAUGGGGCUUACUGUUUUUCACAUUUUUAUUUACAUUUUAGGAUAGUACGAAUAUGACUAACUAAGUAACUAUUUAAAAUAAUUGAAAGGGAAACGAUAACUACCAAGUUUACCUCUUGGCAAGGCGUU
rnacentral:lncRNA from 1 species